rnacentral:misc_RNA from 1 species
GAUGAAGAACGUAGUGAAAUGCGAUAAUUAAUGUGAAUUGCAGAAUUCAGUGAAUCAUCGAGUCUUUGAACGCACAUUGCGCCCCCUGGUAUUCCGGGGGGCAUGCCUGUCCGAGCGUCAUUGCUGCCCUCAAGCACGGCUUGUGUGUUGGGCUUCCGUCCCUGGCAACGGGGACGGGCCCAAAAGGCAGUGGCGGCACCAUGUCUGGUCCUCGAGCGUAUGGGGCUUUGUCACCCGCUCCCGUAGGUCCAGCUGGCAGCUAGCCUCGCAACCAAUCUUUUUAACCAGGUUGACCUCGGAUCAGGUAGGGAUACCUGCUGAACUUAAGCAUAUCAAUAAGCGGAGGA